UAACUUCAAGAACUCCUUGACUGCGAUGGAGCCGGACUAUGUAGAACAGAUAACUAGAGAAACAAAGAGAACUGUUGCUGUGUUGGACACUUGCUCCCAUCUACUUACUUCUCUAUAAUCCACUGCCAUGGAAUGAGUGAUUUUUCUUAGAAGCAGAGGUGGAGCCACUGAGGAAGCACAGGCCAGCCCUCCCCAGCACAUACUCACUGGUCCCCAACAGAAGAACCGCUGCCGCCUCCAUGAGGCUCCCAUUGUGGUG
rnacentral:lncRNA from 10 species